ensembl:misc_RNA 7SK 7SK RNA
GGAUGUAAGGGCGGUCUGGCUGCGACAUCUGUCAUCCCAUUGAUCGCCAGCUGAUCUGGCUGGCUUGGCUGGAAUCUUCCUCAUUCUUCAUCAUUCCCUGUAUGUCCCUCCAGAUGCUACAAAUAGAGGAGACCUGGUCUUUGGUCAAGUGUAUUGGAGUAGCUGUGCUCCCCUGCUAGAACCUCUAAAAAUCUGAAGGUCCAACUCAUGCCUGGACUUUCCUUUGGUCCAUUGACAGUUUCCCUUGUUUACAUCAAAGGUAAAGCU